rnacentral:rRNA from 1 species
UAAACUAGGAUUAGAUACCCUAUUAUUUUUAUUGUAAAAUUUGAAACUUGAGUAUUAGUAGUUAAGAUCUUGAAACUUAAAGAAUUUGGCGGUAUUAUAGUCUAUUUAGAGGAAUCUGUUAUGUAAUCGAUAGUCCACGUUGAACCUUACUUAUAUUAUUUCUUGUAUACCGCUGUUUGAGAAUAUACUUUUAGGUUAUUUUCUUAAUAUAUUAUUAAUUAAAAUUUCAGGUCAAGGUGCAGUAAUAUGUAAGUUGAAUAAUGGAUUACAAUAAAUUUUAUUUAUAUGGAUUGUUAUUGAAAUAUAAUUUGAAGGUGGAUUUAAUUGUAAUUUUUUAAAGAUUAUUAAAAUGAUUGAUAGCUCUAUAAUAUGUACACAUCGCCCGUCGCUCUCGUUAUUAAGAUGAGAUAAGUCGUAACAUAGUAA